GAGCUUUACAGGAGCAGGGCAGCAACGUGAUUGCUGUCUGAUCUCCCCCUGGAUGCCCUCCUCUGCGGCAUGCCACCUCCUCAGCCUCUGUGAGAGCACCAAGUGGCCCAGUCAGCUGGUUCUACAAAAUCUCUGAUCUUUUCUUGGUUUCUGCCCUACCCUGGGCAGAGCUUCAAAGACCCUCUCUGUGCUGGCAGCACUCCCUGGAGCAAAGCAUCACAGAUGAGGCCAGCAGGGAUGGGAAGAGCCCAGGCAGCCUGGCAUUGCAGUGUGAGCUCAGAUCCAGGGGCCGUAACAGUCUCCAACAGCCCCGGCCCCCGUUGGGCUUCCAGGAAGGUGUUCUCAGCUCCAAUAGCUCAGCACUGUUACAAACCCCGAAGAAGGAGGUUUCAUUUCCCUUCCAAAUCUCACGUCUGCCUGCUAAUUCACAGCUCUUUGCCACUCCCAUACAACAUCCGACCCUUAUUCCAGGCUUUGGAGGCAUCCAAGUUUCACGGAAGCAAGAGGAUGUAAGAGCAUUUCCUCAUGGGCAUGGCUUCCUUCAUCAAUGUGCUACGAGAUGGGGAGUAAUCAGCACCCAGAGAACCAGAAAGGAUGCGGCCACUUUCAAACCACCUUCCCAUCACCUGAGUGAACGCUGUCUCCAAGGUGGAAGCCGUGAUUUCAGUGAAGAGGCAUCAGGUGUGAAUAACAACACUGGCGAAACACAAUGGAGGCUGUUGUCUUAUCUCUGCUUCACCAGGAUAAAUUGAUAUGUUGGUUGGUUUGGUUGGUUUUUUUUUUUUUUUUCCACUGUAAGAAAAAUUCUCAACAGAACUCAGGAGCUGGUUAUCU
ensembl:lncRNA